rnacentral:lncRNA from 1 species
AGCUUUAAUAUAUCUUUAUUUGAAAUUGAACCUGUUUAGCAUGUAGUGAACUUUACACUUGUACACUAUUUAAAUAUAACAUAAUUAAUUGCACAUUUUUGCCAAAUUCACUGUUGUUUCUCCCUAGCAACAUAUCUGUGCCCAUGGCAACCGCGAUUUGUUUUCUAUUUACAAGAUUUAAUUUUAAAUAUAUUGAAACAGAAAGGCAAUUUAAGAUGUAAAUUGUAAAAAGAAACGAACUCCAAGGUAAAUAUUAAGAGGGAAAGCAAUAUUGAAACAGGAACAAACAAAACAAAACACCGGGUCUUGCUGAUAUAAACAGAUUGUGCAUCUGAUGCUGGGUUGGGUCUCCCUUAUCAGCGACAAGAAGAAUGAUAUAAAGGCAAGACACAUUAAGCGCUAAGAAAUCUUAAUAUUGAUUAUCUUAAAUAAAUACAGACA